GGCGAAAGCCAGAACCAGUCAUGCCGCGUGCAGGAUGAAGGCCCUACGGGUCGUAAACUGCUUUUAUUCGGGAAGAAAAAGUCUGUUUCCACAGACCUUGACGGUACCGAUUGAAUAAGGACCGGCCAACUCCGUGCCAGCAGCCGCGGUAAUACGGAGGGUCCAAGCGUUAUCCGGAUUCACUGGGUUUAAAGGGUGCGCAGGCGGCUAAGUAAGUCAGUGGUGAAAGCCUUCGGCUCAACCGGAGAAUUGCCAUUGAAACUACUUAGCUUGAGUGCAGUAGAGGUAGGCGGAAUGUAGCAUGUAGCGGUGAAAUGCAUAGAUAUGCUACAGAACACCGAUAGCGAAAGCAGCUUACCACACUGUAACUGACGCUGAGGCACGAAAGCAUGGG
rnacentral:rRNA from 1 species